rnacentral:tRNA from 1 species
GCCCCUGUGGUGGAAUGGUAGACGCGGCAGACUCAAAAUCUGUUGCCUGUAAGGGCGUGCUGGUUCAAGUCCGGCCAGGGGCACCA